GAUUUUUAGAAAAAGUGGCCAUUUAAUAUAAUGUACAAUAAUGACUGAAGCCACAAACAAUCUAAGAGGAACUGUUUUAAUUUUAUUUUAAAUU